GACGAACGCUGGCGGCGUGCUUAACACAUGCAAGUCGAACGGAAAGGCCCUGCUUGCUGGGUACUCGAGUGGCGAACGGGUGAGUAACACGUGGGUGUUCUGCCCUGCACUUCGGGAUAAGUCUGGGAAACUGGGUCUAAUACCGGAUCGGAGCCAUUUUGAGUGUGGUGGUUGGAAAGUUUUUUCGGUGUAGGAUGAGCUCGCGGCCUAUCAGCUUGUUGGUGGGGUAAUGGCCUACCAAGGCGGCGACGGGUAGCCGGCCUGAGAGGGUGGACGGCCACAGUGAGACUGAGAGACGGCCCAGACUCCGACGGGAGGCAGCAGUGGGGAAGAUUGCACAAGGGGCGUAAGCCUGAUGCAGCGACGCCGCGUGGGGGAUGACGGCCUUCGGGUUGUGAACUCCUUUCGCUAGGGACGAAGCUUUUUGUGACGGUACCUAGAUAAGAAGCACCGGCUAACUACGUG
rnacentral:rRNA from 1 species